rnacentral:rRNA from 1 species
UACAGAGGUGGCAAGCGUUAUUCGGAAUUAUUGGGCGUAAAGGGCGCGUAGGCGGCUUGACAAGUCCCGGGUGAAAUCCCUCGGCUCAACCGAGGAACUGCCUUGGAAACUGUCUGGCUUGAGGCCGGGAGAGGGUAGUGGAAUUCCCAGUGUAGCGGUGAAAUGCGUAGAUACUGGGAGGAACACCGGUGGCGAAGGCGGCUACCUGGACCGGUUCUGACGCUGAGGCGCGAAAGCGUGGGUAGCAAACAGG